UACGGAGGGUGCGAGCGUUGUCCGGAAUCACUGGGCGUAAAGGGCGCGUAGGCGGCGCGGAUAGUCGGCGGUGAAAGCCCGGAGCUCAACUCCGGGUCGGCCGUCGAUACUUCCGGGCUUGAGCACUGUAGAGGCAGAUGGAAUUCCGGGUGUAGCGGUGGAAUGCGUAGAGAUCCGGAAGAACACCGGUGGCGGAAGGCGGUCUGCUGGGCAGUUGCUGACGCUGAUGCGCGACAGCGUGGGGAGCAAACGAGGAUUAGAAACC
rnacentral:rRNA from 1 species